GUUGAACGCUGGCGGCGUGCCUAAUACAUGCAAGUCGAGCGAAAAGACGAGGACCUUUCCCCUCUGACGGCAGCGGCGGACGGGAGAGAAACACACGGAUAACCUCCUUAUAAGACUGGGGGCACUACGUGAAACAGGAGCUAAUACGGGCUAAGAUUUUGAACCGCAUGGUUUCAUACUUAAAGCCGGCUUUGCUGUCGCUUACAGAUGGAUCCGCGCCGCAUUAGCUAGUUGGUGAGGUAAAGGCUUACCAAGUCGACGAUGCGUAGCCGGCCUGAGAGGGUGAUCGGCCACACUGGAACUGAGACACGGUCCAGACUCCUACGGGAGGCAGCAGUGGGGAAUCUUGCACAAUGGGCGAAAGCCUGACCGAGCAACGCCGCGUGAAGGAUGAAGGUCUUCGGGUUGUAAAACUCUGUUGUAAGGAAAGAACAAAUGCGUACUAAAAAAGGCGCGUCAUGACGGUACCGAAACAGAAAGCCCCGGCUAACUACGUG
rnacentral:rRNA from 1 species